UACGUAGGGGGCUAGCGUUGUCCGGAAUCAUUGGGCGUAAAGCGCGUGUAGGCGGUCCGGUAAGUCCGCUGUGAAAGUCGAGGGCUCAACCUCGAAUGCCGGUGGAUACUGUCGGGCGUUGAGUACGGGAGAGGCGAGUGGAAUUCCUGGUGUAGCGGUGAAAUGCGCAGAUAUCAGGAGGAACACCGGUGGCGAAGGCGGGUCUCUGGGCCGUAACUGACGCUGAGGAGCGAAAGCGUGGGGAGCGAACAGG
rnacentral:rRNA from 1 species